UACGUAGGUGGCAAGCGUUGUCCGGAUUUACUGGGCGUAAAAAGCGCGCAGGCGGUCGGAUAAGUCGAAUGUGAAAGCCCCCGGCUCAACUGGGGAGGGUCAUUCGAUACUGUUCGACUCGAAGGCAGGAGAGGGAAGUGGAAUUCCCGGUGUAGUGGUGAAAUGCGUAGAUAUCGGGAGGAACACCAGUGGCGAAGGCGACUUACUGGACGAUUGUUGACGCUGAGGUGCGAAAGC
rnacentral:rRNA from 1 species